AUGCUUUCACAACUUGACUUCAAAAUAUUUGGUUUGGAGACCAUCAAAGAUCAAUAUGUGCAUGAUGCUGAUUUUAAAGAUGUAAUGCAGAAUUGUAAAGAAGGAAGAAUGUGGAACAAGUUUGUCGUUAACGAUGGAUUUGUGUUUCGUGCCAACAAGCUAUGCAUUCCAGCUAGCUCCGUUCGUCUUUUGUUGUUGCAGGAGGCGCAUGGAGGAGGAUUAAUGGGACACUUUGGCGUGAAGAAGACGGAGGACGUACUUGCUACACAUUUCUUUUGGCCAAAGAUGAGACGGGAUGUUGAGCGGGCUGUUUUGAAGAAUAAUAAGAAAAUGUGGGAGGAAUGUUUGCCUCAUAUUGAAUUUGCUUAUAAUCGUUCAUUGCAUUCUACUACUAAGAUGUGCCCUUUUGAAGUUGUGUAUGGUUUCCUACCUCGUGCACCUAUUGAUUUGUUGCCUCUUCCAUCUUCGGAGAAGGUUAAUUUUGAUGCUAAACAACGUGCUGAAUUGAUUUUAAAAAUGCAUGAGUUAACUAAGGAAAACAUUGAGCGUAUGAAUGCUAAAUAUAAACUUGCUGGAGAUAAGGGUAGAAAACAUGUUGUGUUUGCACCUGGAGAUCUUGUUUGGUUACAUUUGCGUAAGGAUAGAUUUCCUGAUUUGCGCAAAUCAAAGUUAAUGCCACGUGCUGAUGGUCCCUUUAAGGUGUUAGAGAAAAUAAAUGAUAAUGCAUAUAAACUUGAGCUGCCUGCAGAUUUUGGGGUUAGUCCCACUUUUGACAUUGCAGAUUUGAAGCCUUAUUUGGGUGAGGAAGAUGAACUUCCGUCGAGGACGACUUCAUUUCAAGAAGGGGAGGAUGAUGAGGACAUCAAUACAAUUGUUACACCCACAGCACCUGCUGCUAUACAUACUGGACCAAUUACUAGAGCUCGUGCACGCCAACUAAAUUACCAGGAAACAGACCCUCGUGGUCAGGUUGAUCGUGCUCCGGCGUGGUCAAUAACCUCUCGGAGUUGGUUUAGCAAUUGCUAA
rnacentral:rRNA from 1 species